UAGAAAGAAUACGUGUAGUAGGUUAGGGAACCAGACAUGACCAUGAACUUUUUAAGGGGUCUCGGUUCACAAAAGAUUAACAUGUGUAGUUUUGUACCAUUGAAAACCACAAGUAUUUCGGUCUUUUAUGAUUUUUGUUUGUGGGCGUUACGGAAACGUGAUUUACACAGAUCAUCAACUUACAGCACAUAGUUCUUUUUGUGACGUAUGUGACGAUAACACAUCAAGAAAAGAUGGCAGGUUCUCCUACUCUAGUAGAUUGGAAAACAGCCUUGGCAUCUGGUGUGAAGAUAGGUGUAUUGCUUGAAUCUCUUAACAACACAAAGCAACCAGAAGCAGGUCAAACCUCCAAUCCCAAAGAUGGGGAGGCUUCAGAAAACAUGAAACUUGUUGGACUGACUGAAGAGCCACUAGAAUUCAGAUGGGCCGAGCCCUCACUUCGCCAUAUUGAUUUGAAGGGUGGCCAGUGAAGUACCUCCAGUUGGUCAAUCAUUAUCACAGAUCCUUGAGCCAUGAUGGGUUCACCUUAAACAAGAACUGGCCUUCGAGAUAAAAUUGACGGUCUCUCAAAUAACCACCACACAGGACUGGCUGCUCAGUCAUAAACUUGUUUGCAGCAUACGAAGGAAGAAGUUUAGCGCCUAGCCAGGAGGACAAGUUAGCUAGUCAUUUACUAGUCCACCAGCUUUUUUGCUGGGUCAUAUUUCAUAUUUAAUAGGGAUGCUUUUCAAUACUGAACGAACCAUCCGGACCACUUGGCAAGAAUUUUUACUUGCCCUUGGGUGUUUCGACUAUGAUUCGGACAGCAGCCCAUGGAAAUGGAAUGCCUGCAAACAGGUCGACAAUUUUGUUCCUGCUGGCCAUUUAUUAAGCUAUGCAUGAGGGACAUGCACAAGUCUUUACGUAGUGUAUGACCAAUAAUUGUUGCAAGCAUUUUGAUGUCAACAGACCAUCCCCAAAUAUGUCUCCUCGUUAUUGGUGAACAACCCUUUCAAUUUAUUUAUUUUCACAAACUUAGAUCUGUUGCUCAAAGUAUUACAUAGAAGUAAAUACAAAUAAGGCACAAACUUUUUGAAAAGAAAGUUUUGUUCAAAAGUUUUAUUUAUCAAUCUUCAAAUAUAAGUUGCUACUAAACAAUUUUAAUUAAUUAAAAUGCUAGUUUACAACAAAACUGUUUGUAAAGUCUAGGAAUUUUGAAAACAAAGUCUGUCCAUUAUCGGUGAAGAAAACAAACACUUUACUUUCAUUUUGCCAAUUAAUAAUGUAUUUUGUACGUAGUGAAAACAAUGCCUAGGGCGAAUUAAAAUUUCUGCUGUUGUAUAUGCUAGGAUGUCACAGAGCAACCAUGUCUGAUUUUACAAGGGUAAACACCACAGAACACAGGAAUUCUUAGCUAAUGAUACCAUGUGAUAUGCCUCUCAGGCAACGUUAUCCAGAUGAACCAAUGGUAGAGCUGAAAUUCAGCUAAAAUGGCAGCGUGCAUGAAUUGCUUCAAAGCAGAUACACACAGCAGUUAUUCGGGUUCUAUUCUGUGGUCAACACUUAAAUAAAUGUGGGCAUUAGAGUUGACCAACUGUAACAGUAAUCCCCCCCCCCCCUGAAAUAUCAAAGCGCUAGGAGUGACAUCAUUUGCAAAAGGGUUUUCCUUCAAGGUAUUUUUAACGAGAAAACUAUCCUUUAAAUAACUAACACCAAAAAGAAAACUUACUGAGAUUCCUAGACAAUGUCAAUGUAUUGAAUCCACAACGUGUAACCUUAUUGGAGUAUAAGCAAAGAGAACCACUGACUUACAACAGUCAUGAAUUUUGAGCAGUGUGCUCUCUCACAAGAAGUAAUAUAUACACAGACAUGUUAAAAGAAACUGUCAUGCACACAAAACUUUGUACAGCAUUUUGAAGUUUUCCAAAAAGUAGAUGAAAUUUUAGUGAUUGACGGAAAAGUGGCCUGCUGUAUAGUUCACAGUAAA